rnacentral:lncRNA from 1 species
CCUGCUGUUAUUCCCGUUGUCUUUCCUGUUAUUCCCACUGAUAUUCCCGUUGAAUUCCCGUUAUUCUCAUUGAAUAUUCCCAUUGUUUUUCUCAUUAUUCCCGCUGUUAUUCCCGUUGUUUUUCCUGUUGUUUUUCCUGUUGUCUUUCCCAUUAUUCCCAUUGAAUUCCCGUCAUUCCCAUUGUUUUUCCCAUUGUUAUUCCCAUUGUUAUUCCUGUUGUUAUUCCCAUUGNAUUCCCGUCAUUCCCAUUGUUUUUCCUGUUGUUAUUCCUGUUGUUUUUUCCCGUCAUUCCCGUUGUUAUUCCCGUUGAAUUCCCAUUGUCAUUCCCGUCAUUCCCAUUCUUUUUCCCGUUGUUAUUCCCAUCAUUCCCAUUGUUGUUCUGGUUGUUAUUCCCGUUGAAUUCCCAUUAUUCCCAUUGAAUAUUCCCGUUGUUUUUCCUGUUAUUCCCAUUGAAUAUUCCCCUUGUUAUUCCCAUUGAAUCCUCGUUGUUAUUCCCGCUGUUAUUCCCAUUGUUUUUCCUGCUGUUAUUCCCGUUGUUUUUCCUGUUAUUCCCAUUGAAUAUUCCUGUUGUUUUUCCCACUCUUAUUCCCAUUGUUUUUCCCGUUAUUCCCGCUGUUUUUAUCAUUGAAUUCCUGUCAUUCCCAUUGAACAUUCCCGUUGUUUUCUCUGUUGUUUUCCCCGUUGUUUUUCCUAUUAUUCCUGCUGUUUUUCCCACUGUUAUUCCCAUUAUUCCCAUUGUUAUUCCUGCUGUUAUUCCCAUUGUUUUUCCCGUUAUUCCCGUUGUUAUUCCCAUUGAAUUCCCGUUGUUAUUCCCAUAGAAUUCCCAUCAUUCCCAUUGAAUAUUCCCGUUGUUUUUCCCAUUAUUCCCAUUGAAUAUUCCGAUUGUUUUUCCCGUUGUUUUCCCCGUUAUUUUUCCCAUUAUUCCCACUGUUAUUCCCAUUGUUUUUCCCAUUAUUCCCAUUGAAUAUUCCCGUUGUUUUUCUCGUUAUUCCCAUUGAAUAUUCCUGUUGUUUUUCCCAUUAUUCCCACUGAAUAUUCCCAUUGUUUUUCCCGUUAUUCCCAUUGAAUAUUCCCAUUGUUUUUCCCGUUGUUCCCAUUGAAUAUUCCCGUUGUUAUUCCUGUUGUUUUCCCUGUUGUUUUUCCUGUCAUUCCCAUUGAAUAUUCCCAUUGUUUUUCCCGCUGCUAUUCCUGUUUUUAUUCCCGCUGUUAUUCCCGUUGUUUUUCUCGUUAUUCCCACUGAUAUUCCCGUUGAAUUCCCAUCAUUCCCAUUGAAUAUUCCCGCUGUUUUUCCUCUUGAAUUCCCAUAAUUCCCAUUGAAUAUUUCCAUUGUUUUUCCCAUUAUUCCCGCUGUUUUCCUGUUAUUCCCGUUGUUUUUCCCGUUAUUCCCGCUGUUUUUCCC